GGCUGGUCUGAAUGCAGUGGUGCUUACAACUAGUUGAUCACAACCAGUUACAGAUUCCUUCGUUACUUCGCCACUCCCACUACUUCACUUGACCUUAA
rnacentral:Y_RNA from 1 species